rnacentral:ribozyme from 1 species
UGCCCAGCAACUCCUAUCCCUACCUCCUCGUGGUACCUCGGGUAAGCAACCCAGAUGGGAGAUUUGGUGACAGGGAAGU